UAGUGGUGCCCUUUGUCCGAUACACCUACGCGAAGUGGUGCCCGUUUGCAUAGUGGUGCCCGAAAAUCGGGCACCACUAUGCUGAGCAUCACAACGCCUUCCUUAUGUCGUAAUAUAACGUCUGUAUAAAUAUCAGAUGGGCCCCUUUUUACUGGAUUUUGCCAUAAAGAGUGUGACUCAAGGUCACGUGACUUCCCUCGCGUUCACACAAAUCCGCCGGGCAUUUCAGCUUUCUGCUGUGCCAUAUUGAUGACGUAUGAAAGAGAUGGUACUUUGUGAUGAUGGAAUGGCAGACAAUCCCAGGUCGAUGUCCGUACUCUCACGUCCGUCCGCGAGUUGUCGCGCGGUCCACCAGGGAGAGGUGGCAAGCAGACUGUCCAACUGGCUGGUACUGCAUCGUUAUAGGGGACCGCUGGUCCGAGCCGCUACCAGGGAGGAGGCUGUUGACACUCAUCAGCUCUGGUCGGGCCACUGGGGAUGAUCGGAGCAGUAUCUUCACCGGAUUGAGAGAUCAAUGUCCGAGUUCGCCUAAUGUAACGACAAUGAAUGCCAAGCUGGCCGCUGCUUGGUCUGCGGUGAAGCAGUGGACACCUAAGCGCACGUGUUGCCGGAGUGUCCGUGCUUUUACGGGCCUCGGCUGUGUGCGCUAUGGAACAUCGUCGGCGCGGCCCUCGAUGUCAAGCGCGACGACGUGGUGGUGACCUUAGCCGCCGGCUACGAGGCCCGCAAGAGGCUUGUAUUGGCUACGGCGGUAGCUGUGGGGACACAGCAACAACGACAUCAACAGCUGGCGGCGGAAGUGGCCCCGGAGCUACGCACCUGCGGACAGAGCUACCGCUGAUCCACAUCUCAGCUGAUGAUGCUCAACAGACGGAGAGACUGAGGCGCUGGACAGCGAGUCUGUCUGUGGUUGUGCUGAAGACGGCGUCGGACGACCAUCAGUUCCGGCUGGCGAAUCUAGCCAGCUCCGACCCCGUCCAGCUGCCCGACGAGUGCUUAC